rnacentral:rRNA from 1 species
GAUGAACGCUGGCGGCGUGCCUAAUACGUGCAAGUCGAGCGAACAGACGAGGAGCUUGCUCCUCUGACGUUAGCGGCGGACGGGUGAGUAACACGUGGAUAACCUACCUAUAAGACUGGGAUAACUUCGGGAAACCGGAGCUAAUACCGGAUAAUAUAUUGAACCGCAUGGUUCAAUAGUGAAAGACGGUUUUGCUGUCACUUAUAGAUGGAUCCGCGCCGCAUUAGCUAGUUGGCAAGGUAACGGUUUACCAAGGCAACGAUGCGUAGCCGACCUGAGAGGGUGAUCGGCCACACUGGAACUGAGACACGGUCCAGACUCCUACGGGAGGCAGCAGUAGGGAAUCUUCCGCAAUGGGCGAAAGCCUGACGGAGCAACGCCGCGUGAGUGAUGAAGGUCUUCGGAUCGAAAAACUCUGUUAUUAGGGAAGAACAAAUGUGUAAGUAACUAUGCACGUCUUGACGGUACCUAAUCAGAAAGCCACGGCUAACUACGUGCCAGCCGCCGCAGUAA